CGGUGAAUACGUUCCCGGACCUUGUACACACCGCCCGUCAAGCCAUGGAAGCUGGGUGUACCUAAAGUCGGUAACCGCAAGGAGCCGCCUAGGGUAAAGCUAGUAACUGGGCU
rnacentral:rRNA from 1 species